GAUGAACGCUGGCGGCGUGCUUAACACAUGCAAGUCGAACGGUGAACACGGAGCUUGCUCUGUGGGAUCAGUGGCGAACGGGUGAGUAACACGUGAGCAACCUGCCCCUGACUCUGGGAUAAGCGCUGGAAACGGCGUCUAAUACUGGAUAUGUGACGUGACCGCAUGGUCUGCGUUUGGAAAGAUUUUUCGGUUGGGGAUGGGCUCGCGGCCUAUCAGCUUGUUGGUGAGGUAAUGGCUCACCAAGGCGUCGACGGGUAGCCGGCCUGCGAGGGUGACCGGCCACACUGGGACUGAGACACGGCCCAGACUCCUACGGGAGGCAGCAGUGGGGAAUAUUGCACAAUGGGCGCAAGCCUGAUGCAGCAACGCCGCGUGAGGGAUGACGGCCUUCGGGUUGUAAACCUCUUUUAGCAGGGAAGAAGCGAAAGUGACGGUACCUGCAGAAAAAGCGCCGGCUAACUACGUG
rnacentral:rRNA from 1 species